AAAGCGUGCGCAGGCGGUUAUAUAAGACAGAUGUGAAAUCCCCGGGCUCAACCUGGGAACUGCAUUUGUGACUGUAUAGCUGGAGUGCGGCAGAGGGGGAUGGAAUUCCGCGUGUAGCAGUGAAAUGCGUAGAUAUGCGGAGGAACACCGAUGGCGAAGGCAAUCCCCUGGGCCUGCACUGACGCUCAUGCACGAAAGCGUGGGGAGCAAACAGGAUUAGAUACCCCAGU
rnacentral:rRNA from 1 species